rnacentral:rRNA from 1 species
UACGGAGGGCGCUAGCGUUGUUCGGAAUUACUGGGCGUAAAGCGCACGUAGGCGGCUGUGUAAGUUAGAGGUGAAAGCCUGGAGCUCAACUCCAGAAUUGCCUUUGAGACUGCAUCGCUCGAAUGCGGGAGAGGUGAGUGGAGUUCCGGGUGUAGAGGUGAAAUUCGUAGAUAUCCGGAAGAACACCAGUGGCGAAGGCGGCUCACUGGACCGGUAUUGACGCUGAGGUGCGAAAGCGUGGGGAGCAAACAGG